rfam:Vogesella sp. EB contig00001, whole genome shotgun sequence.
GCGAAAGUGGCGGAAUUGGUAGACGCACUGGAUUUAGGUUCCAGCGCCGCGAGGCGUGAGAGUUCGAGUCUCUCCUUUCGCA